rnacentral:rRNA from 1 species
GACAUAGGUGGCAAGCGUUAUCCGGAUUUACUGGGCGUAAAGCGCGUGUAGGCGGCCUUGCAAGUUGGAUGUGAAAUCCCACGGCUCAACCGUGGAAGUGCAUGGGAAACUGCAGAGCUUGAGUACUUAAGAGGAUCGCGGAAUUCCCGGUGUAGAGGUGAAAUUCGUAGAUAUCGGGAGGAACACCAGUGGCGAAGGCGGCGAUCUGGGAAGAUACUGACGCUGAGGUGCGAAAGCGUGGGGAGCAAACAGG